ensembl:lncRNA
UUUUAAAAAUUGACUUGUAAUAAUUGUACAUAUUUUGAAAUGCCUUAGCUUGGCUAAAAUGAAUACAUUUUAAACAAUCCUGCUAACUCCCAUUUUGCCCACCCUGGGCUAUGUAGGGCAUUCUGUUCCGGAAGCUUGCAAUCUGAGACACCUGGCAUCUUGUAAUCAAUUAUCUGAGAAACAGGGCCCACCUGCCCUGUACAUCCUGUAUCUGCAACUGUGUAACUGUUACCCCACGCUGUUACCCAACAUCCUAAGUAGAGCUUUUUGUUAGGCCCGCCUUCUCCCCUAACCUGCUCCUUCUGCUUCUGUAAUAAUCUGCUUACCCCGACCCUAAUCUAGUAUAAAAAUGUUGAUUGCCUUUUGUUCUUGACCGAGAGGUUUGAGCUCUAGCUGACUCUCGGAUGCUGGGAUAACGGUGGACUCUCAACAAACUCAGUGCGUGGCGCUUCUGUUUAAACUCGCUCAGGGUUCUUCUUGUUACUAGUUUUUGUGCUUGGCAGACUUAUAAGUGAUAGAGAGAGAAGAAUCUUUGGAUGCAGCCAAUUACUGCAGUUCAGGGCUGGAAACCCUCCCAGCCAUGCAGCUGGUCAGGUGAUUGUGUGUCCAGAAAAAGAGGUAAAAGCAAGGAAGAUGGAGGCAUACUGCCUUCACAGCAGCAGGAGAAGGGUCUCUGCUCGUUUUUCACAUUGGCAUUGAUUCACAUCUGGGGUGAAAUGCCGUGUUGCUGUAACAGGACUGCAGUAACUGGACUAAGAAAAAGAGAGUAGAAAACUACCCAAGAGGCUUCGGGCAAUCAACGAGGAGCCUGUGCUGUGAGCACUAAGUCUGCUUGUGAACGGGUCAGGGCCAUGAGUGGGCAGUGACCUGACCCAGAGGAACCACAGCAACACCCAGGACCAGCAGGAGAAUAUUUGGGACAAUCUGGACUGAAAAACUCAAGAACAAAUGAUAGAUCUGAGAUAGAAAUGAGAAUUUAAAAGCAGGCAUUUGGGGAGCAAUGUCCUUGGACAGGGUUUGUUUCUAUCAGUGUCCCUCUGGUGGAGAGUUAAGCUCUAAUUCUGGAGGACAAAUGCACCUCAUCCUAAAGGAUCUUCCUUUCCCUUCAGAGAAUUCAUUCCUUGUUCCUUUUUUAUAUGGUUUAUAAUUUAACUGUCUGAUACAUGUCUGUUUCAAGAACAUUUAACACUAAUCCUCCGUGAAUUUUGAGUAGACUAACUGCUAACUCCGUGAAUUUUGAGUAGACUAACAGAAUAUACUGUUCAGCUCUCCAGGCUGGUGAGGCUGGGCUGGACCCUUUCCUUGUUUACAGGUGCUUGUCAACAGAUGCUAGUGCAAGGCUGCUGCUGCUGGUGUGGAUUAGGAAAAAUGGAGACAAAAGAAAGCAAGGCCAUGUUCUAGCAAAAGACCAUUGACUUAACUUUAAUUCUACCUUCAGAAAUGGUAUGCUUCCAACAGCUUACUGUAUUCCUUCAAAUAAUCCUUUUUUAAAAGUUUAAUGUAAAAUCUUUAAAAUAUUAUAGCAUAUAGCAUAAGAUUUCAAGCUUGUGAUGUGACCUGUUGUCAUGAUUAUUAAUUUCCCAAAUCAAGAAAUGUGGAUUAUGACUACUUAAAGAAUUUGUAUUGCUUUUGCUGUUUAAUGUAAUAAUUUCACAUCUUAGAAAAAUGUCAUACAUUUAGCUAAGUAUGUCACAUUUUAAGCACAUGUGAAAUUGUUUUUCAUUAAAACCAUUUUUACGUUUUUCUAAAAUAUAACAAUGUUACUUUUUAGGACUUCUGUUUUCUGGAGAAUGCUAAAAUUGGAUAUAAAAAUUCUGCAAACAAAACUAUAAUGAUAAGUACACUUUUAAAAUACAGCUACAAAAAUGUGCCUACUUUUCAUAAGUAAGAUUGAGAUUUGCUCUAUGGUUACUAGUGCAAUGACUGAAUAUACUGACAAAAAUAUACUAGAUCUUCACUUGCAUUUGAAAAAAAAACUCAUAACCAAUAAAACUAGUUUUGAGUUAAUGGCAAAAUCAAAAAUUAAGAUGGUAUUUUUUGCUCUUCCUGCUGAUUUCAUUGCAAUUAUAUCUAAAACAUUAAAUAUUUGAGAAAUAUUUGGUCCUAACAAUGAAAUCCCAAAUAGUGUUCAAAAUAUAAUUUUAAAUUGUGAUGUUACAUUUUCUGUAAGAAAUACUAUUCGCUAUUCUUUAUCAAUAGCUAUGAGUUAAUCUGUGGAGCUGUAUUAUAGCUACUUUAAUUUUUUUUAAGUUUUGGUGGGUUUUAUUUCUGUUUCUCCUUUUGUUCAAUUUCACUCUCUUUAUAUUCUUCCCUUACUAGCUUAUUUAAUUCUGUGGCUUUAACUAACAUUCAUUACAUGAGGAUUCUGAAAUUUCUUCUUAAGCUAGUGUGCUGGCUUUCAAUCUAUAUUAAUAUCCAUAAUAUAUUAUGUGUAUGAGUUAAGUACAUAUUUUACAUUUUAAAUACAUAUUUCUAUUUAAACUAAUGCACAUAUAUGAAGAGACUGCAAAAAGUUCAUGCAAAAAUGAAACUAAGAGAUAAAAAAUUUUUUAAAUAGAGAAUUUUUUUAAACAUAAGCUUCGUCAAGCUUAAGACAUUUUGGAAGUUGAUGAUAUCAGUCAUUUAGUUCAUCCUUAAAGAACAGAGACUUUUGGGAAUUUAUGUCAAUGUAAUCAUUUUACAUUAUUAAAUGAAGAAAAAUGAGUGUCCUUUAAAGAUUUUUUAAGAUUAGAAAACACAAUGAAGUCAGAAGAAGCCAAAUCAGGACCAUAAGCUCGACUUCCCACCGAAACUUGGAAAACUUCCUUUCAUGAUAAGAGGAAUGAGUUGUCCUUAUGGUGAAGGAUUUCCUGGUGAAGCUUUUCUGGGUGUUUUUCUGUUAAACGUUUUGGCUCACUUUCUGAAAACACUCUCAUAAUAAACAAUUGUUGCUGUUCUUUGGUCUUCCAGAAAGGCAACAAAGGAAAUGCCUUGAGCAUUCCCAGAUCUGCUGCCCUGAGCUUCCUCCUGACAAGUCCACUUUUGUUUAGUCAAGACCACUUCCACUUCUUGGGAGCCGUUAGGUUGGUUUUUGUUUUGUCUUCAGGACUAUACUGGUAAAGCCACAUUUCAUCUUCUG